rnacentral:pre_miRNA from 1 species
UGAACUUUACCACGAAAAGGUCUGUCAUAUAUAACACAGACUUUUCAGGUAGUUCAC